rnacentral:rRNA from 1 species
ACGAGGUGUGCAAGCGUUGCUCGGAAUCACUGGGCAUAAAGGGUGCGUAGGCGGUGUGGUCAGUCGGAUGUGAAAUCCCUCGGCUUAACCGGGGAACUGCAUCCGAUACUACCACGCUUGAGGGUGAAAGGGGCAAGCGGAAUUCCAGGUGUAGCGGUGGAAUGCGUUGAUAUCUGGGAGAACGCCAAAGGCGAAGGCAGCUUGCUGGGUCACCUCUGACGCUGAGGCACGAAAGCUAGGGGAGCAAACAG